GACGAACGCUGGCGGCGUGCUUAACACAUGCAAGUCGAGCGGUAAGGCCCUUUCGGGGGUACACGAGCGGCGAACGGGUGAGUAACACGUGGGUGACCUGCCCUCAGUUCUGGGAUAAGCCUGGGAAACCGGGUCUAAUACUGGAUAUGACCUCAUGACGCAUGUUGUGGGGUGAAAGCCUUGUGCGACUGAGGAUGGGCCGCGGCCUAUCAGCUUGUGGUGGGUGAUGGCCUACCAAGGCGACGACGGGUAGCCGGCCUGAGAGGCGACCGGCCACACUGGGACUGAGACACGGCCCAGACUCCUACGGGAGGC
rnacentral:rRNA from 1 species